UACGUAGGUGGCAAGCGUUGUCCGGAUUUACUGGGCGGAAAGGAUGCGUAGGCGGAUACUUAAGUCAGAUGUGAAAAUCCCGAGCUUAACUUGGGAACUGCAUUUGAAACUGGGUAUCUAGAGUGUGGGAGAGGAAAGUGGAAUUCCAGGUGUAGCGGUGAAAUGCGUAGAUAUCUGGAGGAACACCGGUGGCGAAGGCGGCAUCCUGGACCGGUAUUGACGCUGAGGCGCGAAAGCCAGGGGAGCAAACGGG
rnacentral:rRNA from 1 species